CGUCAUGUCAUUAGGUUGGUGUGGCGGGGAAUCAGGACUGUUACUUUGAAAAAAUUAGAGUGUUUAAAGCAGGCUCGCGCUUGAAUACAUUAGCAUGGAAUAAUGAAAUAGGACGUUUGACCCUAUUUUGUUGGUUUCUAGGAUCGACGUAAUGAUUAAUAGGGAUAGUUGGGGGCAUUAGUAUUCAAUUGUCAGAGGUGAAAUUCUUGGAUUUAUUGAAGACUAACUACUGCGAAAGCAUUUGCCAAGGAUGUUUUCAUUAAUCGAGAACGAAAGUUAGGGGAUCGAAGACGAUCAGAUACCGUCGUAGUCUUAACCAUAAACUAUGCCGACUAGGGAUCGGAUGAUGUUAAUUUUUUAAUGACUCAUUCGGCGCCUUACGGGGAACCAAAGUGUUUGGGUUCCGGGGGGAGUAUGGUCGCAAGGCUGAAACUUAAAGGAAUUGACGGAAGGGCACCACCAGGGGUGGAGCCUGCG
rnacentral:rRNA from 1 species